rnacentral:rRNA from 1 species
UACGUAGGGGGCAAGCGUUGUCCGGAAUCAUUGGGCGUAAAGAGCGUGUAGGCGGCCCGAUAAGUCCGCCGUGAAAGUCCAGGGCUCAACCCUGGAAUGCCGGUGGAAACUGUCGGGCUGGAGUCCGGAAGAGGCGAGUGGAAUUCCUGGUGUAGCGGUGAAAUGCGCAGAUAUCAGGAGGAACACCGAUGGCGAAGGCAGCUCGCUGGGACGGUACUGACGCUGAGACGCGAAAGCGUGGGGAGCAAACAGG